rnacentral:rRNA from 1 species
AAAAGCUCGUAGUUGAAUUUCUGUCUGUAAGGAUCGAAACACCACUGUUGAGGUCUCUUCGGGCAUCUGUUUGCAAGCAUACGUUCGGCCUUCACUGGUUGGCUAUGUAAGCAAACGUUUUACCUUGAGAAAAUUAGAGUGUUCCAGGCAGGCUUCAGCCGGAAUACAUUAGCAUGGAAUAAUGGAAUAGGACUGGGAACUAUUCAUGGUUUGAGGGCCCAGUAAUGAUUAAUAGGAACAGUCGGGGGCAUUAGUACUUUACAGUCAGAGGUGAAAUUCUUGGAUUUGUAAAAGACUAACUAAUGCGAAAGCAUUUGCCAAGCAUGUUUUCAUUAAUCAAGAACGAAAGUUAGGGGAUCAAAGACGAUUAGAUACCGUCCUAGUCUUAACUGUAAACGAUUCCAUCUUAGAAUUGGGUGAAGAUACUAUGAUUCAUCCAGCGCUAUAAGAGAAAUCAAAGUCUUUGGGUUCUUGGUGGAGUACGAUCGCAAGAUUGAAACUUAAAGGAAUUGACGGUUUUGCACACCAUGAAGUGGAGCCUGUGGCUUAAUUUGACUCAACACUGGGAAACUUAUCAGGACAAAAAAGUUUUAGGAUUGACAGAUUGAUAGCUCUUUCUUGAUUGACUUAAUGGUGGUGCAUGGCCGUUCUUAGUUGGUGGAGUGAUUUGUCUGGUUAAUUCCGAUAACGAACGAGACCUUAACCUACUAACUAGUACGACGUGAUAAACGUUAGUUACUUCUUAGAGGGACAAUGUGUUUUUAACACACGGAAGUUUAAGGCAAUAACAGGUCUGUGAUGCCCUUAAAUGUCCUGAGCCGCACACGCGCUACAAUGACACUUUCAAUAAGUAUUCGCUGGUCCGAAAGGAUCCUGGCUAAUCUUUUUAGUGAGUGUCGUGCUAGGGAUAGAUCUUUGCAAUUGUGGAUCUUGAACGAGGAAUUUCUAGUAAGCACAAGUCAUCAGCUUGUGCUGAUUACGUCCCUGCAAAAUGUACACAUCGCCCGUCGCUUGCUCCGAUUGAGUAAACUGGUGAGCCUUCC